rnacentral:misc_RNA from 1 species
GGGGUCAGCUGCUAGGGAAGUGAUCAAGCAUCGAACCAUCGAAAAAGUGGUCAUGUGUGAUAUCGAUCAGGAAGUGGUGGACUUCUGUCGCAUGCAUCUAACUGCCAACCGCGAGGCGUUUUCUAGCAAGAAGCUCGAACUUGUCAUCAACGAUGCAGGACUUGAGCUCAAGGAGAGGAAGGAGAAGUUUGACAUUAUCGUCGGGGACUUGGCUGAUCCGG